rnacentral:rRNA from 1 species
AGAGCCUUCCGCCGCCUCGCGCUGCAGUACCAUCCGGACGUCGUGCGGGACGGCCACCAGGACGACGACGGCGUGGACUUCGAGCGGAUCAACGCGGCGUACCAGAGGGUGACGCGCAACAUGCGGGAGGCGGAGGCGAGGCUCGAGUACUGGCGCCGCCGCUACGGCCUCGCCGACGAGGACCUCGACCGCUACCGGCUCUACCUCAACGACGACGACGAGGACGACUGGUUCUCAGACCUAUGA